rnacentral:rRNA from 1 species
GACGAACGCUGGCGGCGUGCUUAACACAUGCAAGUCGAGCGGUAAGGCUCCCUCGGGAGUACACGAGCGGCGAACGGGUGAGUAACACGUGAGCAAUCUACCCUUCACUUUGGAAUAACUUUCGGAACGGAAGCUAUACCAAACUACGACCACCGAAGGCGAUCCUUGGUGGUGGAAAGUUACCGGCGGUGGAGGAUGAGCUCGCGGCCUAUCAGCUUGUUGGU